CCUUAUGUUGUCUAGGGUUUCUUCUCCAAAAAAACCCAUUAUCGUUCCUAAACACUAUUCUUUGAUGUCUUGUGUUCUAGUUUUCUAUGUCACUUUCUUCCUUUGUUAGGCAAAGAGUAUGCUCGUGCCUAUUUGUGAAGCUGGUUGUUUGUUUGAGUUUUGGAUCAAAUAUUUCUUUGAAGAGUACCUCAAUUUCUUUCCACUUAUGGUUGGGUUGUCCAGAGCCUUAGUUCUUUAAUUCUUGAAAUAUCCAAAAUGGGUUCAACAAUGGUGGAAGUGGCAAAAAUUGAUGGCAGAGGCAAUUUCAAUAAAUUGAGGAAAAAGUUAAAGUUGUUUGGGAUCUACAGAUGUGUUCUAAAGCGCUUCGUGGUAAUAAGGACUUACUCUUUACCUUAUCUCUUGAUGAAAAAGUUGAUGUAUUUGAGACUGGCCAUAGUUUGUUGAUUUUUCAGCUUAAGUAAGUUGAUGAUGAAAUUACAAAUGCUAGUGUAUGACUUAAAUUGGAGUCUUUAUUCACAACUAAAUUGUUGUCUAAUAAAAUACUCUUG